CAAUUUUUUUCAAUGCGUCACAAAGCACAUUGUCUGGCACAUAAACACACAUGAACAUCUGGUGUACUCUAUCAUGUCUGAUUUUAUUAUUUUAAAAUGUUAUAUUGAUUAAAAAUAAAUAAAUAAACACAUGUUUUAAAUAUAUUUUAUUCACUCAUGGCCCUGUCGGAUAUAACCGACACGAACAUAGCAAAAUCUUAAACGACUGCCAGAAUAACUUUGAAUGUUUUUUCUUUUUGCGAUUUUUUACACAAGCUAUCUUGGAGUAUAUACAAACAUAUUUGACGGUUGGAUCGUUGAAACUAAUUUUUUAGAAUGCAUAUUCUAUCAAAUUGAUAGAUUUAACA
rnacentral:lncRNA from 1 species